AUGAAUUUAGGUAGAGUACCACUUUCCUUGAUAACCUAACUCCUUAAGUAGGUAUAUUUCCCUUGGUCAAUUUUUCUCACCUUACCCGACUUUCAUAAAUCAUAAAGAAGGCAAGCAAAGUAUGAGCCCCAGUACCUAGAACUUAAAAAAAAUCUGUAAGGUAUUGACUACAUUUAUAUUUAGUUAAAAUGUUUCUUAUUGGGUUCCUUGUGGUUAUUCAUCCAAGAACUAUUUAUUGCAUGAUGUUCUAGGCACUGUAUUUUAUCAGGGAUACAGUUAUGAGGAAGAUAGAGAAGAUUUCUGCCCUAAGAGAGGAAGGGUUACAGCAAGCGGUAAACAUGCAAGCUUUUCUGGGCUAGAUGCUGGGGACGUGAGGAGUGAGACACACUGAUGAAGAGGACACUACAAAGCACUGUGAAUGUGAGCUCCUCCCAGGUGAAGAUCUGGUUUACGUCCUUCAGUGACUAGAACAGUUGCCUGGCACCUAUCAAAAGCUCAAGACCUGUUAAGCAUGACUGAAGUUUGAUGUUUGCUCAUAGUGUGAGUGUGCCUGAUGCCACUCAGUUGUACUCUUAAAAGUGUCUCGGGGCGCCUGGGUGGUGCAGUCGGUUAAG
rnacentral:lncRNA from 1 species